rnacentral:lncRNA from 10 species
CAACGGGGUUUCGGGGCUGUGGACCCUGUGCCAGGAAAGGAAGGGCGCAGCUCCUGCAAUGCGGAGCAGCCAGGGCAGUGGGCACCAGGCUUUAGCCUCCCUUUCUCACCCUACAGAGGGCAGGCCCUUCAGCUCCAUUCUCCUCCAAGGCUGCAGAGGGGGCAGGAAUUGGGGGUGACAGGAGAGCUGUAAGGUCUCCAGUGGGUCAUUCUGGGCCCAGAGAUGGGUGCUGAAGCUCCCACGCCUGCCUGUGAAAAUGGAGUCCUCUCUCACCUGGGAGAGCCAGGUGCUGCCCCGAGAAGGAUGCAUUUAUGGCUUCGUGAAGUCUUUCCUGACCCCCGAUGCUGCUGACUAUAGAGACAAAGUCUCACUAUGUUGCUCAGGCUGGUCUUGAACUCCUGGCCUCAAGCGAUCCUCCCACCUCAGCCUCCCAAAGUGUUGGGAUUAUAGACAUGAGCCACUGCACCUGGCCGACCUUGGGCAAGUUCUUAAACCCUUCAAAGCCUCAUUUUUCUCCAAUCACAAAAGGGAAAGAUGGUAAUAUUUUCCCCACCAAAUUCUUGUCGGAUGCCCUCACAGAAUUGAGAUUAUGUACGUAAAACACCAGGUGCCUAACCCGGCACAGAGCAGGAGGGCUAAGCGUGACAUCCAGCACGUGGUCAGUGGAAUCCAGUAUUCCUACCCACCUCUCUAGUCUCCCCUCCACCCCUCUCCCUUUCAGAGGCACCAAGCUGCUUGUGGUCUUGUCUAUUCCCACUCCCUGCCUGACUGAACAUUUUCUCCACCUCCUGAUCAUCAGCAGCAGAAACUGGCUGCUCUUCCUCCUGGGUAGACAGCCAGACUGUAUUUCCCAGCUGCCCCUGCAGUGAGAUGUGGCCAUCGGAGCCAGCAUUGGCCAAUGGACUCUGCAUGGGAGUGACGCAUGCUGCCUCCAGGCUUGUCCCUAAAACCUCCCACGUGUCCUCCGCCUGCUCUUCCCACCUCCAAGGAGCACGGCAAUUGUGGAAGACCCAGAUUAGUGAUGGCAGAACCAUAGAUGGGAGGAACCUGGGUCCCUGACUUAAAGUAUCAUGGAUUUGGAUGUUCCCUUAGUGAGAAAUAAACUUCCAUUGUGUUUAAGCCUUUAUUUGUUUAUAGUUGGUUACAGCAACUGCCUUCUUUUAAUUAAAACACUCCUGCUGCU